CCCAGCGCUGAAUCUUUCGAUGUUACAUCGUAAAGAAAUGUAGCGUAUAGGUGUAGUUAUCGGUUUGUUUGGCGUAUCCAAAGUUCCUUUGAUAGGGGCCAUAUUCCAGAGAGGGUGCGAGACCUGUGCGGAUAGCGGAACAUGCCGUAUGAUUAUACCUUGGAGUCGGGUUGCUUGAAAGUGCAGCCUUAAGUGGGUGAUAAACUUCAUCUAAGGCUAAAUACGGACGCGAAUUCGAUAGCAAACAAGUACUGUGAAGGAAAGUUGCAAAGAACUUUGAAGAGAGAGUUCAAGAGAACGUGAAAUCGUUGAAGUGGAACCGGAGAGAGUUGACGUAGUAUGGUGGAUAAGUAUUGCAAGAAUCGCUUCAAAAAAUGUGAACGUGAUCGAGCAGUAUGUAUGUCACCAAUGACUGCGCUGACAGCAUCGACUACACGCUCUGAACCGUGUUGACAUGUUGCCUACUCUAGUAUAUAGAGUGGUGUCUUGUGUUACGUGGUGAAGUUUGUUGUUAUGUUGAUGUUGAUACGAGGAGCAUAAUUAUACGACGAGUAUUAAUUAUGUGUGUCAGUGUAAAAGUCGACCACCUCUCCGACCCGUCUUGAAACACGGACCGAGGAGUGUAACUUGUACGCGAGUCAAUGGGUGAAAAACCUUAAGGCGAAAUGAAAGUGAAGGCACGGUUAACCGGCUGACAUGGGAAACGUCCGGCGGCUUGUGUUGACGAGACGUUACACCAUGGCCCUGUCUUGUCUGCAUGCAGAUGGGCAGCGGUAGAGCGUACAGGUUGCGACCCGAAAGAUGGUGAACUAUGCCUGAGCAGGACGAAGCCAGAGGAAACUCUGGUGGAAGUCCGUAUCGGUUCUGACGUGCAAAUCGAUCGAUAGACUUGGGUAGAGGGGCG
rnacentral:rRNA from 1 species